GACGAACGCUGGCGGCGUGCCUAAUACAUGCCAGUUGAGCGCUGAAGGUUGGUACUUGUACCGACUGGAUGAGCAGCGAACGGGUGAGUAACGCGUGGGGAAUCUGCCUUUGAGCGGGGGACAACAUUUGGAAACGAAUGCUAAUACCGCAUAAAAACUUUAAACACAAGUUUUAAGUUUGAAAGAUGCAAUUGCAUCACUCAAAGAUGAUCCCGCGUUGUAUUAGCUAGUUGGUGAGGUAAAGGCUCACCAAGGCGAUGAUACAUAGCCGACCUGAGAGGGUGAUCGGCCACAUUGGGACUGAGACACGGCCCAAACUCCUACGGGAGGCAGCAGUAGGGAAUCUUCGGCAAUGGACGAAAGUCUGACCGAGCAACGCCGCGUGAGUGAAGAAGGUUUUCGGACCGUAAAACUCUGUUGGUAGAGAAGAACGUUGGUGAGAGUGGAAAGCUCAUCAAGUGACGGUAACUACCCAGAAAGGGACGGCUAACUACGUG
rnacentral:rRNA from 1 species